CACAUUGCCCUGUAAGUUAAAAGAAACAGCUAAUCUUGUAAAUUAGAAGAACGAGGUCAAACCCCCUCGACAGGGA
rnacentral:tRNA from 1 species